rnacentral:SRP_RNA from 1 species
GCCGGGCGUGGUGGCGGGCGCCUGUAGUCCCAGCUACUCGGGAGGCUGAGGCAGGAGAAUCCCUUGAACCCGGGAGGCGGAGGCUGCAGUGAGCCGAGAUCGCAUCACUGCACUCCAGCCUGGGCAACAGAGUGAGAUUCUGUCUCAA